rfam:Ciona savignyi cont_32810, whole genome shotgun sequence.
ACUGGGUUGGCCGAGUGGUUAAGGCGUUGGACUUAAGUUCCAAUGGACAAGUGACCGCGUGGGUUCGAACCCCACACCCAGUA